ACGUCAAUCAAUGUCAAUAAAUGUCGGUUUCGCAAACGGCAAACGCCUCUGGUUUUGGUAUCUUUGCGCUCUGUUCGACAAUGGAGCAGUGUUUAGUGUUUGUGAGGCGUUUUGUCAAUGCCGUGUCAGCCACGUAGCUCAAAAGGGUUUAGUCCGGAAAAGAUAACAAUAUAAAAUGUACAUGUCAGUUUGUUUGCAAAAUAAUAUCAAUUAUUACUAUCAUUCUAUAUGAGUACAAAAUAUGACCCUUCAAAUAAAAUUUUGAAUUUUAUCGUGUUAGACGAUAUUUAUUAUAAUAUCUUUAAAUACGGUAACCAGCGUGUAAGACCUCACCUCACCUCGCCAAGAACUGAGAAAAUAACAAUAGACACAAGAGGAAUGCUAUUUGCAGAGUUAAUUUGCCAUUAUACGAGACAUGGCUGGAACGCAGUUUAUUGUUAUUCAUCUUUAUUUUGUUAAUGGGAAAAAUAAGCGUUUUAUUGUAUGGUAUACCUACUUGAAGAACAGUAAAAAAGCGUCGAAAUAACGCAAUCAAAGAUAGUGCCGCAGGUAUACGAUAAAAAAAAUACACUAUCGAUCCACAGGUGGGUGCGUAUUCCAUAAAUAUUAGCUGCUAUUUGUACUACUAUAAUGAGUGAUGACAAUAUAAUUGUUUCGGUGCACCGUUACUGCGCAUGCAUCGUGACCAUUUUGUAAUGUUUCCUAAGGUUUUGAUUUCAAUACGUCAAAGUAUGGUAAGAUAAGCGUACCAACAUCAAAGAUGAUAAAUGUUGUAAAUAAAAUAAUAACGAUGUAGUCGGAAAGAUGGUAAUGUAAAACAGUUUA